rnacentral:rRNA from 1 species
UGGCCUUGACAUGCAGAGAACUUUCCAGAGAUGGAUUGGUGCCUUCGGGAACGCAGAGACAGGUGCUGCAUGGCUGUCGUCAGCUCGUGUUGUGAAAUGUUGGGUUAAGUCCCGUAACGAGCGCAACCCUUGUCCUUAGUUGCCAUCAUUUAGUUGGGGACUCUAAGGAGACUGCCGGUGACAAACCGGAGGAAGGCGGGGACGACGUCAAGUCAUCAUGGCCCUUACGAGUAGGGCUACACACGUGCUACAAUGGCCGGUACAGAGGGUCGCGAAGCCGCGAGGUGGAGCUAAUCUCACAAAGCCGGUCGUAGUCCGGAUUGGAGUCUGCAACUCGACUCCAUGAAGUCGGAAUCGCUAGUAAUCGUGAAUCAGAAUGUCACGGUGAAUACGUUAACGGGGCCU